rnacentral:rRNA from 1 species
GGACUACCGGGGUAUCUAAUCCUGUUUGCUCCCCUAGCUUUCGCAGCUUAGUGUCAGUAAUAGUCCAGGUACCUGCUUUCGCCAUUGGUGUUCCUCCCGAUCUCUGCGCAUUUCACCGCUACACCGGGAAUUCCAGUACCCUCUCCUAUACUCAAGCCUGGUAGUUUCUGUUGACCUCUCCCAGUUAAGCCGGGAGCUUACACAACAGACUUACCAAACCACCUACCUGCCCUUUACGCCUAGUAAUUCCGAGUAACGCUUGCCACCUUCGUAUUACCGCGGCUGCUGGCAC